UUACUACUCCCUCCGUCCGGAAAUACUUGUCAGAGGAAUGGAUGUAUCUAGACAUAUUUUAGUUCUAGAUGCAUUCAUUUUUAUGCAUUUCUUCGACAAGUAUUUCCGGACGGAGGGAGUACUUU
rfam:Triticum aestivum genome assembly, contig: Triticum_aestivum_CS42_TGACv1_scaffold_222699_3B